rnacentral:rRNA from 1 species
AUUGAACGCUGGCGGCAGGCCUAACACAUGCAAGUCGAGCGGGCGGCGGACGGGUGAGUAAUGUAUGGGGAUCUGCCUGAUAGAGGGGUAUAACUACUGUAAAAGUUGGCUAAUACCGCAUACUAUCGUUUGCACCCAUAGGGGAUUAGGUAGUAGGUGGGGUAAAGGCUCACCUAGGCGACGAUGUCUAGCUGGUCUGAGAGGAUGAUCAGCCACACUGGGACGGAGACACGGCCCAGACUCCUACGGGAGGCAGCAGUGGGGAAUAUUGCACAAUGGACGAAAGCCUGAUCCAGCCAUGCCGCGUGUAUGAAGAAGGCCUUAGGGUUGUAAAGCUCUUUCAGCGGGGAGGCGUUACCCACACAGGAAGCAACGGCUAACUACGUGCCAGCCGCCGCGGUAAUUA